rnacentral:rRNA from 1 species
AUUGAACGCUGGCGGCAUGCCUUACACAUGCAAGUCGAACGGCAGCACGGGAGCAAUCCUGGUGGCGAGUGGCGAACGGGUGAGUAAUGUAUCGGAACGUGCCCAGUCGUGGGGGAUAACGUAGCGAAAGCUACGCUAAUACCGCAUACGAUCUAUGGAUGAAAGCGGGGGAUCGCAAGACCUCGCGCGAUUGGAGCGGCCGAUAGCAGAUUAGGUAGUUGGUGGGGUAAAGGCUCACCAAGCCGACGAUCUGUAGCUGGUCUGAGAGGACGACCAGCCACACUGGGACUGAGACACGGGCCAGACUCGUACGGGAGGCAGCAGUGGGGAAUUUUGGACAAUGGGCGCAAGCCUGAUCCAGCAAUGCCGCGUGCAGGAUGAAGGCCUUCGGGUUGUAAACUGCUUUUGUACGGAACGAAACGGCGAGCUCUAAUACAGUUUGCUAAUGACGGUACCGUAAGAAUAAGCACCGGCUAACUACGUGCCAGCAGCCGCCGUAA